rnacentral:lncRNA from 1 species
AAGCAUUAAGAAAAUUUCUAUUUAAAAAAAGUAUUGUGUGAGUCUAAAAACUUCCAAAAAUAACUCCUUAAUGUGUUUGUCUUUUCCAGUUUAUCGUAAGGUGCCUUUUUCUUAUGGACCUCUGUAUUCUGUAUGAGCCAAGGGAAAACUUCUCCUUUGCCCCCUGAAGUUUCUCUGGAAAUCAGCUAACAAAAGUCAGAUUGUAACUGGAUCCAGGUUGAUUUGCUCACCAUUCAAAUGUCAAACACAAGAGGUGAAACUGACACAGGACAGGCAAGUCCACAAACUGAGGCUCAUCCGGGGGGCGUUCUUGGCUUUGCCCAGGAAAUAAUUCAAGGGCAAGCUGGUGGCGUUAAAAAGUAACUUCAACUGAAGCAGCAGUGUACAGCAAAGCAGAGACCAUCUCCUUUCAGCUCUCAAAUACUGUCUGAUACUUCAAAGCAUCUCAAUCAUACAACGUCUGCCCACAUGGCCCAACUGAUGUUUUGGAAAACCUUGUCAAGAAUUCCAGGGAAUGAAUAGAGUUAUUCCAGCAGCUUCUAGAACUUUUCACAGGGUUGUAUAUUUCUGCUGUUCAUUAUGGCAGCCACUGACUCCAUGUGAUACUUGAGUUCUUGAAAUGUGGCAAGUGUGAGUGAGGAAUUGAAUUUUUGGUUUUAUUUAAUUUUAAUUAAUUGAAAUUUAAAUUUAAGAAGUCAUAUAUGGCAAAUGGCUACCACAUUAGUCAAUGCAGCAGAAGUUUCUAAAUUGAAUAUAAAGCACCUGAUUAUGUCAGGAUGGGUUACAAUAAUAAUCAAUUUAUUUUAACAUCCUGCUAUUGAAAUAAUAUCAUGAGGAUGCCAAUCAGAAACCAUCCUCUUUUAUUUCUGGUUUUGUUUUUAUGAGCACUAAUACUCUAGAGUUUUGAAUGAUGGAUUAAAAUAACUAAAUUCUAGUUCCAUGUGAUUUUUUCUACUUCGCUAAGUGUAUUUUUCAUGUGUAUACAAGAGAUGAUACUCUACCUGAAUCUUUCAUUGUGAUUUAUGAUAAUAUUUACAUUUUAAGAAUUAUUGAGCACCUACUAAUUACUAGAUAUGAGACAAGUUCUUGGUUUGCAAAGAUAAAUAAAACAUGGUUUCCAAUCGAGCUUAUAGUCCAGCUUUAUAUUGCUUGUGAAAAUUGAUUUAAUAUUUAUAAGGUGCUAUGGAAAGUCAAGGAUUAUUAUUUUUUGUUCUUCAGUCACUGUAAUGUUUUCUGUAUAUAAAGGUCAGAUUUUCAAUAGUAAAAGAUAUUGGAAAGGCAUAAAAACUGGAAAAUAACAGACCAAGUUGGGAAAAGCUGACUAUAUUAAGACCGCAAAUAUCUCUCAACGAGUGGUGUUAGGUAGGUGACAAGAAGGCAAGGGACUUUUCCAUUCAUUGAAAGCAAUAAAUAAAAACUAAUAUCUGGACAGUGCUUUAAAGCUUAUGAAGUACAGUCACAGCACCUAGGCCCACACUUAAGGUGUGCAAUCUCAAUUCU